ensembl:lncRNA
GUCCGAAAAUGGACAAAAACGUCAUAGUUUAGUAUGUCGUCCAAAAAUGGAAAAAAACGUCAUAGGUUACUAUGUCAUCCGAAAUAUCACCAAAAUGUCAUAGGUUAGUAUGUCGUCCAAAAAUGGACUAAAACGUCAUAGGUUAGUAUGUCGUCCGAAAUAUCACCAAAACAUCAUAGUUUAGUAUGUCGUCCGAAAAUGGACAAAAACAUCAUAGGUUAGUAUGUCGUCCGAAAAUGGACAAAAACGUCAUAGUUUAGUAUGUCGUCCGAAAAUGGACAAAAACGUCAUAGGUUAGUAUGUCGUCCGAAAAUGGACAAAAACGUCAUAGGUUAGUAUGUCGUCCAAAAUAUCACCAAAACGUCAUAGGUUAGUAUGUCGUCCGAAAAUGGACAAAAACGUCAUAGGUUAGUAUGUCGUCCGAAAAUUGACAAAAACGUCAUAGGUUAGUAUGUCGUCCGAAAAUGGACUAAAACGUCAUAGGUUAGUAUGUUGUCCGAAUAUUGACAAAAAUGUCAUAGGUUAGCAUGUCGUCCGAAAAUGGACAUAAACAUCAUAGGUUC